UCCCUGGUGGGCCAGUGGUUUGGACUUGGUGCUUUCACUGCCAGGACCUGGGUUCAAUCCCUGGUUGGGGAA
rfam:TPA: Bos taurus chromosome 7, whole genome shotgun sequence.